AAUUUCUCCGGGGACAGAUUUGCAAAUCCGGGGACUGUCCCCGGGGACGUCUGGUAACCCUAGUCUAGAGCCCAUCUGCCUCCUCGCCACAAGACCACGAAGUUCAGAGUCUAAGAUUACGGCAUCAGUGCUUGUUGUCUUCGCAGAGAAGUCAACAAGUUCGUCUGGGCUUUGCAUCAACAGCGUCUUAUUUACAGCAGCCCUGGGGCUGUUGCAACGUGACCGCUUUGCUGUGUGCCCCCCCCUCUUUUCUUAUCUGGCUUCUCAGAUGAUUUAUUGCGGGUCCUACCUAAACACAGCCAAGGGCUUUGGGAUUGGCAGACAAGAUGUCUUGCCUCAGGGCUGGGGCCGGGGCAAACCGAAAGCAGACAGGCUCUCCUAUUGACACCAAGAAAGCAAGAGGCAGGUCAAAGAGAUGCAGCAACUUCGCAAGGAGGAAAGGUAGGGAGAGGUUAGUGACAGAUGAAAGAGGCUCUGACAAUCAAAAAAUACAGAUGGCUCAACUCCUUUCAGGAUAACCAACCAUUUGCAUUUGUAUUUUUCGCUCUAUAACACGCACCCAACCAUAACACGCACAUAGUUUUU